rnacentral:rRNA from 1 species
GAUGAACGCUGGCGGCGUGCUUAACACAUGCAAGUCGAACGGAACUACUUUGAUGAGAUUCUUCGGAAAGGAUUUGAUUUAGUUUAGUGGCGGACGGGUGAGUAACGCGUGGGUAACCUGCCUCAUACAGGGGGAUAACAGUUGGAAACGACUGUUAAUACCGCAUAAGCGCACAGUAUCGCAUGAUACGGUGUGAAAAACUCCGGUGGUAUGAGAUGGACCCGCGUCUGAUUAGCUAGUUGGUGAGGUAACGGCCCACCAAGGCGACGAUCAGUAGCCGGCCUGAGAGGGUGAACGGCCACAUUGGGACUGAGACACGGCCCAA